GCUCUUGUAGCACAAUAGUAGUGUAUUCUACUCUUUGUGGAAGGUUGAGGGUUCGAUUUCUUCCAGGGGCA